AACGAACGCUGGCGGCAUGCCUAACACAUGCAAGUCGAACGAGACCUUCGGGUCUAGUGGCGCACGGGUGCGUAACGCGUGGGAACCUGCCCUUAGGUUCGGAAUAACUCCCCGAAAGGGGUGCUAAUACCGGAUAAUGUCUUCGGACCAAAGAUUUAUCGCCUUUGGAUGGGCCCGCGUUGGAUUAGCUAGUUGGUAGGGUAAAAGCCUACCAAGGCGACGAUCCAUAGCUGGUCUGGGAGGAUGAUCAGCCACACUGGGACUGAGACACGGCCCAGACUCCUACGGGAGGCAGCAGUGGGGAAUAUUGGACAAGGGGCGAAAGCCUGAUCCAGCAAUGCCGCGUGAGUGAUGAAGGCCUUAGGGUUGUAAAGCUCUUUUACCCGGGAUGAUAAUGACAGUACCGGGAGAAUAAGCUCCGGCUAACUCCGUG
rnacentral:rRNA from 1 species